UACGUAGGGGGCAAGCGUUGUCCGGAAUUAUUGGGCGUAAAGAGCGUGUAGGCGGCCAGGUAGGUCCGGUGUGAAAACUCGAGGCUUAACCUCGAGAUGUCAUCGGAAACCAUCUGGCUAGAGUCCGGAAGAGGAAAGUGGAAUUCCCGGUGUAGCGGUGAAAUGCGCAGAUAUCGGGAAGAACACCCGUGGCGAAGGCGGCUCUCUGGAACGCAACUGACGCUGAGGCGCGAAAGCUAGGGUAGCAAACGGG
rnacentral:rRNA from 1 species